AUGGCAUUCUAUUCAGAUCAUCAUACUUUUGCGAGCAACACUACAAACAACAUGGAAAGUCUUCAAGAUCGGAUAAGUAAGAUUUCUCGUCAAUUAGAUGAAUUAGCUCAGCAGCGAGGUAUAGUUAUUGAGGAUAGGCCUAUCUCUUAUGAUCCUUAUUCUAGAGGCCAUUCUUGUGUUGCUCCUACCUGCCAUAUUUGUGGAUAUCAGGGCCGUUCACCCGCCGAAUGUCAGCGUGGUUAUUCUCACCCUCCAGAUUGUUUUGGUAUGAGCUUUGCUCAGCAUCAUGUCUCAUACCAAAACAAUUACUCACAUGGGUGGCCUGAAAACCACAAUAUGUCAUAUAGGAGCAACAACCGUGAGGUCUCACCAUUUGCUUCUAGUAAUCAUAUGCAUGGAUUUAGGUACAAUGAGGAGAGCACAAUUAUGCACCACAACAAUUUCAUUCAGCUCCUAUUCAUGUACCUCAACACUGAGAGAUGUGUCCAGUGGAGUUAA
rnacentral:rRNA from 1 species